rnacentral:rRNA from 1 species
CAGGCCUCAAAUAAUGUGUGACU